rnacentral:rRNA from 1 species
GACGAACGCUGGCGGCGUGCUUAACACAUGCAAGUCGAACGAUGAUCUCCCGCUUGCGGGGGUGAUUAGUGGCGAACGGGUGAGUAAUACGUGAGUAACCUGCCCUUGACUCUGGGAUAAGCCUGGGAAACCGGGUCUAAUACUGGAUACUACUUCCUGCCGCAUGGUGGGGGGUGGAAAGGGUUCUACUGGUUUUGGAUGGGCUCACGGCCUAUCAGCUUGUUGGUGGAGUAAUGGCUCACCAAGGCGACGACGGGUAGCCGGCCUGAGGGGGUGACCGGCCACACUGGGACUGAGACACGGCCCAGACUCCUACGGGAGGCAGCAGGGGGGAAUAUUGCACAAUGGGCGGAAGCCUGAUGCAGCGACGCCGCGGGAGGGAUGACGGCCUUCGUGUUGUAAAACUCUUUCAGCAGGGAAGAAGCCACAAGUGACGGUACCUGCAGAAGAAGCGCCGGCUAACUACGUG